rnacentral:rRNA from 1 species
UAGGGAAUAUUGGACAAUGGGCGCAAGCCUGAUCCAGCCAUGCCGCGUGAGUGAAGAAGGCCCUCGGGUUGUAAAGCUCUUUUGUCCGGAAAGAAAAGCAUCGGGCUAAUACCCUGGUGUUCUGACGGUACCGGAAGAAUAAGCACCGGCUAACUUCGUGCCAGCAGCCGCGGUAAUACGAAGGGUGCAAGCGUUACUCGGAAUUACUGGGCGUAAAGCGUGCGUAGGUGGUUUGUUAAGUCUGAUGUGAAAGCCCUGGGCUCAACCUGGGAAUGGCAUUGGAAACUGGCGGACUCGAGUGCGGUAGAGGGGUGUGGAAUUCCCGGUGUAGCAUGAAUGCAGUAGAGAUCGGGAGGAACACCAGUGGCGAAGGCGACACCCUGGACCAGCACUGACACUGAGGCACGAAAGCGUGGGGAGCAAACAGGAUUAGAUACCCUGGUAGUCCACGCCCUAAACGAUGCGAACUGGAUGUUGGUGCAACUUGGCACUCAGUAUCGAAGCUAACGCGUUAAGUUCGCCGCCUGGGGAGUACGGUCGCAAGACUGAAACUUAAAUGAAUUGACGGGGUCAUAGCUGUUUCC